CGUGGGUGAUCUGCCCUCAACUUUGGGAUAAGCCUGGGAAACUGGGUCUAAUACCGGAUAGGAACWWUCUUUAGUGUGGUWGUUGGAAAGCUUUUGCGGUUGGGGAUGAGCUCGCGGCCUAUCAGCUUGUUGGUGGGGUAAUGGCCUACCAAGGCGUCGACGGGUAGCCGGCCUGAGAGGGUGUACGGCCACAUUGGGACUGAGAUACGGCCCAGACUCCUACGGGAGGCAGCAGUGGGGAAUAUUGCACAAUGGGCGGAAGCCUGAUGCAGCGACGCCGCGUGGGGGAUGAAGGCCUUCGGGUUGUAAACUCCUUUCGACAGGGACGAAGCUUUUGUGACGGUACCUGUAUAAGAAGCACCGGCUAACUACGUGCCAGCAGCCGCGGUAAUACGUAGGGUGCGAGCGUUGUCCGGAAUUACUGGGCGUAAAGAGCUCGUAGGUGGUUUGUCGCGUCGUCUGUGAAAUUCCGGGGCUUAACU
rnacentral:rRNA from 1 species